CAGAGAUUCAGCCUCCCCCACUGCCAGGCUAGGCCAGAGGAGAUGUGACAAAGGGAGGAAGCAGACGUGGCUUGUCCCCACAGCUGUGCACAGGCUGAGCGCCAGCGAUUGCAGCCUGGACACUCACAGCUUUCAGAGAUGGGCAAGCAGAUUCUUGUCUCGUGACUGUCUCUGGACUAUGGAAGAAACGUGAAAAAGAAAGAAAAACAUAAUUGUUUCCGAUCAUCAAAUAUUUUGGUGAAGUAGGAAAGAAAGUGGCAGUAGAGUCCUGUCUAGGCAUUCCUCUUUGCUUGGAUUCCCUCCCACAUCAGGAGAGAGAAGUCAGCCACCUCGGGGGUUACUGCCUGCCCCGGAGCUGGGAUAUACAGAUGGAUUGUGGUCUGCUCCUGGCCAGCAGCAGUGGUACCAGCUGUGACUUCAUUAACUCAGCUUCCAGAGGUUACCUGAUGCUCUGUGCUGUACCUGAUGCAGAAGAAAAUGAAAGCUGCAUGUGGUCCAUGGAUGCUUCAUACAGCUGUGAUCAGCGAUGGGAUUAUCUGCCCACUGCUACUGCAGCUGUUCAAGGGCAACCUGAGCACUGCACUGCCCUUGCAUGGCAGCAAUGCGAACAAUGGUCCAGUGUCCUUCCACGAGGAAAUUUUCUGUAGCAAGGAGCUGAUCCUGGAAAAGGAAAGGUACUCUUCAACAACAGCCCACUGUGGAAAAUACCUCCAGACACACCAAGUUGCUUCUUAACUAGCAAUCUGUGGUGCAGGACCUGCAAGACACAGCCUGAAUGCCUAUCCAGGCUGGCAAUAGGAGGAGCAAUGCCCCGAAUACAAGACAGAAAACAAGCAAGCAAACAAAAAUAUCACCACUGUGUAAUCUUGCUAAUUUGAAAUGAUCACACACAUCUGCUCCUGGAUUAGCUCAAAUCUGUUUUUUCAGGUAAUUCAAUAUUAGUGAUCACAGAACUGUGUACUAAAUUAAGCAUAAAUUAAACACAUUCUUUAUUAGUGUGGGCGGUCUCUUCAGAACAAUAUGUGCAAACGGCCACAAAUCUUUAAAAGAGGAAGAUUCCUGGAAUCACUUGUCAGCUCAAACUUCUCAUUGCCUACCUGAAUGAACUGUGCAGAACCCAUCAGUCCAGCUGCUUUUCUUGGCUCUGUAAGAGGAUAUUCAUGAGAACCACAACAACCUUUUAUUUGAGCUGUCAUUUCUACAGAAAGACAAUUGGGAUAUUCUGUAGAGUGCACAUAGGCCAUUUUCAGUCUCCAUCAGGAUACUCAGGAUGCUGUCCCACCAACACAACCUAGCUCAAUGCAGAUGGUUCUCAAAUUGCCUUCCAGUGUUGGACCUGCUUUGAUUCACUGAUUAGCAAUUUUUCCACUCACAGCCACAAGUGAACAGGAACAAGUAGAAACAUAAUGGGAAAUAUUUCUAUGUAUAAAAACACAUAAUGGCAAGUGACUAAAAUAUUUAAAAUCAGUAAAGAUGCAGAAGAAGCAGCUUUUACUAACUUUCAGAAUUAGAGGAUCUCAAGUUGAGUAUUUUUUCCUAUCUGCUGUAUUAUUAUGAGUUGUUCACAGAAACUGGAAGUAACAAAAUUAAAUAAAAAAUGCUGAAUUGAGGAUUUAUGGCCAGAAAAUAUCAGUGUAAUAAAAUACAAGUGGCUGUGCUUUAUGCAGACAACUGCCUACAGGAAAGAUGCCAGCUUUCCCAGCUUUAGCCUAGUUAGUAUGUGAACUGUUAGUCUGAACAACAGGACAAAUGCAUGUUGAGUCAAUAUACAAUUUUACAAAGAUCUGUGUAUUAUUCCCCAAAGUGUUUUAAUAUUUUCCAAAACUUUAGUCACAAAAUUAGUCAAGAUUGUAAAUUAUUGUGU